CAUCAUCAACAUUAUUGCUACCUUGGCGUGACUGUGUUAGCAAGUCACUUUCCAAACUCUGAGCUCUCUGGGAAAGGCGUGGGAGGUGGACUUAAUAUUUAGGAAAUACAGAGAAGCAUCAAGAAUAAAAUCAAGACGAUGUGAAAGACUGUCACAGAACAGAGACAAGCAACACCGAAGUGACCCUUCUGUUCCCUGAGCCCCUCGGCUGGGCUUGCCCUCUGACUCCCCCCUCCCCGCUCUGUGGCUGGUGGACAAGGCAUUCCCUCUGUCGCUUCUCCACGUUCAUGGACAGAAGACAAGCGGUUUGUCCUCUCCCCGAUCCUGCAAAUGCUGCAUCCUUUCCCUGUCCCCGGGCGGGUCACCCUGCCUACCAGUUGAGGGGAAUCCUUCCGAUGCACCACUAACCAUAAUCACGGUUACUAUGGCCAUUUUAAAAUCCCAACAAAAGCUUCCUUAACUGCAAAAACGACCUGUAAAUUUUCAGUUUUAAGAGAAUUUUGUAAGAGUACAGACACAACAGAAAUGAUAAAAAUAUUCUAAUUGUAUUUUUAAAAGAUACGUAAUCAAAACGACUGAAUUUUCUAGACAGUCCUUUAAAUCCUUUAGGAUAACCUAUGCCAGAUUUCCACGAGCAUUCCGAUUCAAUGGUGGAUUGAUUGAGAUUCUGGAAAAUUCCAAGGUCGCUUAUACAUAUCUCCCGGCAGCGCCCCUGCCCAAGCGUUCUUUAUCUGUCCUGACUGUUGCCAGUGUGGAAUGAGACGUUUCACGUGGUGAAGGAGUGAGUUAGAUCUCCUGCUUUAUUUUCCAGGCUGCCUUUUUUGCUGCGUAUUUCUCGAAAUGCAGCUAUCAGUCUCAACAUGAUGCCAAUUCCACCUUGCCUCCAAAAAGCUCUGCUGUAAAUACUUCUGAAGUUCGGGUUUGAUCUCUUUUCUUUGCGGUUGAAACGGAUUUUCGGCAUUGCUGUGGAAAGAGAUGCGUGUCGUCCUCACGGAGCCGCUCGGUGACCGCGGCUGAGCCGCUUCGGAGCGGCUGCCGAGAGGACGGGUUCACGGGGCCCCCGGCGGCCGGAGGGGAGCGGGUCUCUGCGGCUUCGCUGUCCAAGAAACGGAAGCCCGUCUGUGGUUUUGGCUGUUUGCUCUCACAUGUUGCCAGGGAACACCUUUGGGAGACUCAGAGACACCGGGAGACUGGCGUUUCAAAUAUGUCUUUGUUCUGUCCUGCUCAAUCAACAAUUCCCUUGGAAAUCCAAUUCCAGAGCAAUGAAAUGUUAAAAACCUCUUCUACUUCGGGGCUGGCCGCGUGGCCGAGUGGUUGGGUUCGCGCGCUCCGCUGCAGGAGGCCCAGUGUUUCGUUGGUUCGAGUCCUGGGCGCGGACAUGGCACUGCUCAUCGAACCACACUGGGGCACCAUCCCACAUGCCACAACUAGGUGGACCCACAACGAAGAAUAUACAACUAUGUAACGGCGGGGGGCUUUGGGGAGAAAAAGGAAAAAAUAAA
rnacentral:lncRNA from 1 species